rnacentral:rRNA from 1 species
CCUACGGGGGGCAGCAGUGGGGAAUAUUGGGCAAUGGGCGCAAGCCUGACCCAGCAACGCCGCGUGAAGGAAGAAGGCUUUCGGGUUGUAAACUUCUUUUGACAGGGAAGAGCAGAAGACGGUACCCCUUGAAUAAGCCACGGCUAACUACGUGCCAGCAGCCGCGGUAAUACGUAGGUGGCAAGCGUUGUCCGGAUUUACUGGGUGUAAAGGGCGUGCAGCCGGAGAGACAAGUCAGAUGUGAAAUCCACGGGCUCAACCCGUGAACUGCAUUUGAAACUGUUUCCCUUGAGUGUCGGAGAGGUAAUCGGAAUUCCUUGUGUAGCGGUGAAAUGCGUAGAUAUAAGGAAGAACACCAGUGGCGAAGGCGGAUUACUGGACGAUAACUGACGGUGAGGCGCGAAAGCGUGGGGAGCAAACAGGAUUAGAUACCCCUGUAGUC